rnacentral:rRNA from 1 species
UGGUUCUCCCCGAAAGCUAUUUAGGUAGCGCCUCGUGAAUUCAUCUCCGGGGGUAGAGCACUGUUUCGGCUAGGGGGCCAUCCCGGCUUACCAACCCGAUGCAAACUGCGAAUACCGGAGAAUGUUAUCACGGGAGACACACGGCGGGUGCUAACGUCCGUCGUGAAGAGGGAAACAACCCAGACCGCCAGCUAAGGUCCCAAAGUCAUGGUUAAGUGGGAAACGAUGUGGGAAGGCCCAGACAGCCAGGAUGUUGGCUUAGAAGCAGCCAUCAUUUAAAGAAAGCGUAAUAGCUCACUGGUCGAGUCGGCCUGCGCGGAAGAUGUAACGGGGCUAAACCAUGCACCGAAGCUGCGGCAGCGAACGUAUCACCCAAGACAACUUUACGGAGUUGACGAUUGACGGAGCGAAGCGACGUCAAAGCGUUCAUUAAAGUCGAGUUGGCUUAGGGAUACGUUCGUUGGGUAGGGGAGCGUUCUGUAAGCCUGUGAAGGUGUGUCGUGAGGCAUGCUGGAGGUAUCAGAAGUGCGAAUGCUGACAUAAGUAACGAUAAAGCGGGUGAAAAGCCCGCUCGCCGGAAGACCAAGGGUUCCUGUCCAACGUUAAUCGGGGCAGGGUGAGUCGACCCCUAAGGCGAGGCCGAAAGGCGUAGUCGAUGGGAAACGGGUUAAUAUUCCCGUACUUGGUGUUACUGCGAAGGGGGGACGGAGAAGGCUAUGUUGGCCGGGCGACGGUUGUCCCGGUUUAAGCGUGUAGGUGUGUGUUCCAGGUAAAUCCGGUUCACUUUAACACUGAGGCGUGACGACGAGGCACUACGGUGCUGA